AUUGAACGCUGGCGGCAUGCCUUACACAUGCAAGUCGAACGGUAACGGGCCUUCGGGUGCCGACGAGUGGCGAACGGGUGAGUAAUGCAUCGGAACGUACCCAUCAGUGGGGGAUAACUCUCCGAAAGGAGGGCUAAUACCGCAUAUUCUGUGCGCAGGAAAGCGGGGGACCGCAAGGCCUCGCGCUGAUGGAGCGGCCGAUGUCAGAUUAGCUAGUUGGUGGGGUAAAGGCCUACCAAGGCGACGAUCUGUAGCGGGGCGGAGAGGAUGAUCCGCCACACGGGGACUGAGACCCGGCCCAGACUCCUACGGGGGGCAGCAGUGGGGAAUUUUGGACAAUGGGGGCAACCCUGAUCCGGCCAUGCCGCGUGAGUGAAGAAGGCCUUCGGGUUGUAAAGCUCUUUCGGCCGGGAAGAAAUCGCAUCUCCUAAUACGGGGUGUGGAUGACGGUACCGGAAUAAGAAGCACCGGCUAACUACGUGCCAGCAGCCGCGGUAA
rnacentral:rRNA from 1 species